AACGAACGCUGGCGGCAUGCUUAACACAUGCAAGUCGAACGCUCUGGCUUCGGCCAGGGAGUGGCGCACGGGUGAGUAGCGCGUGGGAACCUGCCCUGUUGUGGGGGAUAACCGAGGGAAACCUCGGCUAAUACCGCAUAAGCCGGGUGUCUUGAGAGAGGCAUUCGGGAAAGAUUUAUCGCGACAGGAGGGGCCCGCGUCGGAUUAGCUUGUUGGUGGGGUAACGGCCCACCAAGGCAAUGAUCCGUAGCUGGUCUGAGAGGAUGAUCA
rnacentral:rRNA from 1 species